rnacentral:rRNA from 1 species
GACGAACGCUGGCGGCGUGCUUAACACAUGCAAGUCGAACGGAAAGGCCCUGCUUUUGUGGGGUGCUCGAGUGGCGAACGGGUGAGUAACACGUGAGUAACCUGCCCUUGACUUUGGGAUAACUUCAGGAAACUGGGGCUAAUACCGGAUAGGAGCUCCUGCUGCAUGGUGGGGGUUGGAAAGUUUCGGCGGUUGGGGAUGGACUCGCGGCUUAUCAGCUUGUUGGUGGGGUAGUGGCUUACCAAGGCUUUGACGGGUAGCCGGCCUGAGAGGGUGACCGGCCACAUUGGGACUGAGAUACGGCACAGACACCUACGGGAGGCAGCAGUGGGGAAUAUUGCACAAUGGGCGGAAGCCUGAUGCAGCAACGCCGCGUGCGGGAUGAAGGCCUUCGGGUUGUAAACCGCUUUCGCCUGUGACGAAGCGUGAGUGACGGUAAUGGGUAAAGAAGCACCGGCUAACUACGUG